UNUGACUUGAGUGCAGAAGGGGAGAGUGGAAUUCCAUGUGUAGCGGUGAAAUGCGUAGAUAUAUGGAGGAACACCAGUGGCGAAAGCGGCUCUCUGGUCUGUCACUGACGCUGAGGCUCGAAAGCGUGGGUAGCGAACAGGAUUAGAUACCCUGGUAGUNCACGCCGUAAACGAUGAGUGCUAGGUGUUAGGCCCNUUCCGGGGCUUAGUGCCGGAGCUAACGCAAUAAGCACUCCGCCUGGGGAGUACGACCGCAAGGUUGAAACUCAAAGGAAUUGACGGGGGCCCGCACAAGCGGUGGAGCAUGUGGUUUAAUUCGAAGCAACGCGAAGAACCUUACCAGGUCUUGACAUCCCGGUGCUAUUCUUAGAGAUAGGAAGUUACUUCGGUACAUCGGAGACAGGUGGUGCAUGGUUGUCGUCAGCUCGUGUCGUGAGAUGUUGGGUUAAGUCCCGCAACGAGCGCAACCCUUAUUGUUAGUUGCCAUCAUUAAGUUGGGCACUCUAGCGAGACUGCCGGUAAUAAACCGGAGGAAGGCGGGGAUGACGUCAAAUCAUCAUGCCCCUUAUGACCUGGGCUACACACGUGCUACAAUGGUCGGUACAACGAGUUGCGAGCCGGUGACGGCAAGCUAAUCUCUGAAAGCCGAUCUCAGUUCGGAUUGGAGGCUGCAACUCGCCUCCAUGAAGUCGGAAUCGCUAGUAAUCGCGGAUCAGCACGCCGCGGUGAAUACGUUCCCGGGCCUUGUACACACCGCCCGUCACACCACGAGAGUUUGUAUCACCCGAAGUCGGUGAGGUAACCUUUUAGGGGCCAGC
rnacentral:rRNA from 1 species